rnacentral:rRNA from 1 species
UAGAUACCCUAUUAUAAAAAUUUAAAUUGAUUUACUAAAAAAUUAAUAGUUAAGUUCUUUAAAUUUAAAAAAUUUGGCGGUAUUUUAGUCUUAUUAGAGGAACCUGUUUAUUAAUUGAUAAUCCACGAUUAAUUUUACUUAUUUUAAUUAAUUCAUAUAUCGCUGUCAUGAAUAUAUUUAAAAAUUUAUUUUCUUUUUUUAUUUUUAUAAUUUAUGUUAAGUCAAGAUGUGGUUUAUAAAUAAGAAUAUAAUGGGUUACAAUAAAUUUAAUUUUUGGAUUUUAAAUGAAAAUUAAAAUGAAAUUGGAUUUAAUAGUAAAUUUAUUUAUUUAAU